UUUCCGUAGGUGAACCUGCGGAAGGAUCAUUACAGAGCACAUCGCCCUUACGGGUGACUCUCCAACCCUAUGUUAUUAUACCUUUGUUGCUUUGGCGAGCCGCCUCGGCCACCGGCUUACGCUGGUGAGUGCUUGCCAGAGAACCCCAAACUCUGAGUUUAAAUAUCGUCUGAGUACUAUAUAAUAGUUAAAACUUUCAACAACGGAUCUCUUGGUCCUG
rnacentral:misc_RNA from 1 species